AUACUUCCAGUAAGGGUACAGCAACGCCCGGUUUGACGAACCGUGUUAGCCCAAUUGGAGAUUGCAUACCCCCCAUCCUUUCUCGCCGAGUGAGAUUUCAAAUAGCAUGCCAAAUUCUGAUCAAAAUUUUAUAGAUUCAAAUAGCAGUUGUCGAGGGUCCUAUUACACGAUGAGCAGUAAAAAGGCAUCGAUCGUGAUGUUAGCUGCUGCUGACGCCAGCCGUUUUGGCGAAAGUAUUAACAUUGUCUUCCGAUGGAAGAGAAGUCUCUACAAGAUGAUUUGGAGGCAUUCACUGGUUUUCCUUGUCGUUUACUUCUCGUUAACAGCACUCUACAAUUUCGGUUUGGGAAAGGACAACAAAAAACACUUUGAGGCUUUGAGCGCCUAUUUCGCCCGCUACACGCGCUCGUUUAACUGGAUGAUUAUGCUCGGAUUCUUCACCAACACGGCGCUGCAUCGCUUGUUCACUCUGCAGAUGACGACGCCUGGUACAGCUAAAACCACUACCAUCUUCAUCAUGUCUCUGAAACAAGAUUUACCUGAAGGUCCGGAUAUUGUUGACCAGUACGCCCGGUGGGUUGUCCUCGCAUGGAUCCUCACAUUCCGCUCCGUGUGCAAACCUUUGCGAGACAAAUUUCCAAAUUUAACUGCAAUCCAAACUUCAGGGAUCCUUCUGGAGGAGGAGAAACGUAUUCUUCAGCGCGGAGGAUAUCCCACACCACGCCCUUUAAUUGUCAUCGAGUGGUUACUUUUGCUGCUCAAAGAGUGUGUCAAGGAAGACCGUUAUAUUAACAAGUCAAGUCACAACAAGAACGUUGAAGCCGUCAUGACGUUCAAAAAAGGUUGCAGCAAUAUCAUCAAGUUCUCUACACAGAACAUUCCAUACGCUGUCAUUCAGGCCGUCAUCAUUGUAGUCUACUGCUUCGGGGUGGUUACGGCGAUGGCUCGCAAUCUUCCAAAGUUUGACAAUGAAAUCGUCCGCCACGUCAUUGGGUACUUCCCCGUGAUGCCCUACAUCCAGUUUUUCGUAUUCAUCGCUUGGCUCAGUGUCGGCAGAGCAGCCGUGAAUCCAUUUGGAAACGACGACACGGACAUUGACGUCAGAAAACUUUGCGAAGCUCACAUGCAGGAUCUCAACUGGCUGACAGAAUUGUAUACGAAAAAGUUGGAUGACGUCUUUUAUAAUUUGCCUCAAAAGCAAUUUAGAUCUAAUAACCAAGAACAGCCUUCAAAGCUUCCAUUCCUAGAAACAGCCUGCUGAUUUCGGCAAAGAUUUGCGCUGUUGUCCAAAGUGUUUUCGAAAAAUCCUCAUACAACGCACAGAGCAAAUUGCACAUGCACCAUCGCAAUUUAUUCAAGCGAAUAUUUUGUUUGCGUUGCCACAGAAUCUUCGACGUGUAGACACAUCCUCUGCUGCUGCAGUUGAUUUAAUUGUUGACUCUGAUUCUGUUUUAAGCAUUUUUCAAGUCCAUCGCUCGAACCGAUGAUCGUAGCAUUUAAGUGGAUAAAAAAAAAUGGAUCAACUACCAGCACCAAAAAUGGCAAACGAAAUUAACGCGUAAAUCCAAAAAGACUUUCACAGGUACCAGAUUAAAUUUUAAAAGCCGCAUUUUGCAUAAAUAUUUGACCCAGACGAUAGAGGAUUUUCUACUUUCUCGAUUCAAAAGUCGUCGCCUUAACUUGCCACUGCUGCAACCUAUGGCUUACAGGUAAUCAGGUGCACAUUACUAUGACACGACCUUCAUAAGGAGAGACACGUGAAUUCAAAAGAAUU